AUUGAACGCUGGCGGCAGGCCUAACAUAUGCAAGUCGAGCGGGGUUUUCGGACCUAGCGGCGGACGGGUGAGUAAUGCGUAGGAAGCUGCCCGAUAGAGGGGGAUACCAGUUGGAAACGACUGUUAAUACCGCAUAAUGUCUACGGACCAAAGUGUGGGACCUUCGGGCCACAUGCUAUCGGAUGCGCCUACGUGGGAUU
rnacentral:rRNA from 1 species